GACGAACGCUGGCGGCGUGCUAAACACAUGCAGGUCGAACGGAAAGGCCCUGCUUUUGUGGGGUGCUCGAGUGGCGAACGGGUGAGUAACACGUGAGUAACCUGCCCUUGACUUUGGGAUAACUUCAGGAAACUGGGGCUAAUACCGGAUAGGAGCUCCUGCUGCAUGGUGGGGGUUGGAAAGUUUCGGCGGUUGGGGAUGGACUCGCGGCUUAUCAGCUUGUUGGUGGGGUAGUGGCUUACCAAGGCUUUGACGGGUAGCCGGCCUGAGAGGGUGACCGGCCACAUUGGGACUGGGAAACGGCCCAGACCCCAACGGGAGGCAGCAGGGGGGAAUUUGGCAAAAUGGGCGGAAGCCUGAGGCAGCAACGCCGCGGGCGGGAUGGCGGCCUUCGGGUUGUAAACCGCUUUCGCCGGUGACGAAGCGGGGGUGGCGGUAAUGGGUAAAGGAGCACCGGCUAACUACGU
rnacentral:rRNA from 1 species